GGGGAUCGAAAGACCUUAUGCUUUAGGAGCGGCCGAUGUCUGAUUAGCUAGUUGGUGGGGUAAAGGCCUACCAAGGCGACGAUCAGUAGCUGGUCUGAGAGGACGAUCAGCCACACUGGGACUGAGACACGGCCCAGACUCCUACGGGAGGCAGCAGUGGGGAAUUUUGGACAAUGGGCGCAAGCCUGAUCCAGCAAUGCCGCGUGAGUGAAGAAGGCCUUCGGGUUGUAAAGCUCUUUUAGUCGGGAAGAAAGAAUUGUGACUAAUAAUCGCAAUUUAUGACGGUACCGACAGAAAAAGCACCGGCUAACUACGUGCCAGCAGCCGCGGUAAUACGUAGGGUGCGAGCGUUAAUCGGAAUUACUGGGCGUAAAGGGUGCGCAGGCGGUUUUGUAAGUCAGAUGUGAAAGCCCCGGGCUUAACCUGGGAAUUGCGUUUGAAACU
rnacentral:rRNA from 1 species